CAGUAAGGAAUAUUGGUCAAUGGGCGGAAGCCUGAACCAGCCAUGCCGGGUGCAGGAAGACGGCCCUACGGGUUGUAAACUGCUUUUGUACCGGAAUAAACCUUGAUUCGUGAAUCAAGCUGAAUGUACGGUAAGAAUAAGGAUCGGCUAACUCCGUGCCAGCAGCCGCGGUAAUACGGAGGAUCCGAGCGUUAUCCGGAUUUAUUGGGUUUAAAGGGUGCGUAGGCGGCUUUUUAAGUCAGGGGUGAAAGACGGUAGCUCAACUAUCGCAGUGCCUUUGAUACUGAAGAGCUUGAAUACACUUGAGGUAGGCGGAAUGUGACAAGUAGCGGUGAAAUGCAUAGAUAUGUCACAGAACACCAAUUGCGAAGGCAGCUUACUAAAGUGUGAUUGACGCUGAGGCACGAAAGCGUGGGGAUCAAACAGGAUUAGAUACCCUGGUAGUCCACGCCCUAAACGAUGAAUACUCGAUGUUGGCGAUAUACGGUCAGCGUCUAAGCGAAAGCGUUAAGUAUUCCACCUGGGGAGUACGCCCGCAAGGGUGAAACUCAAAGGAAUUGACGGGGGCCCGCACAAGCGGAGGAGCAUGUGGUUUAAUUCGAUGAUACGCGAGGAACCUUACCCGGGCUUGAAAGUUAGUGAAUGAUCCAGAGACGGAUCAGUCCUUCGGGACACGAAACUAGGUGCUGCAUGGCUGUCGUCAGCUCGUGCCGUGAGGUGUUGGGUUAAGUCCCGCAACGAGCGCAACCCCUAUGUUUAGUUGCCAGCACGUCAAGGUGGGGACUCUAAACAGACUGCCUAUGCAAAUAGAGAGGAAGGAGGGGACGACGUCAAGUCAUCAUGGCCCUUACGUCCGGGGCUACACACGUGCUACAAUGGAUGGUACAGCGGGCAGCUACCUGGCAACAGGAUGCCAAUCUCGUAAAGCCAUUCACAGUUCGGAUCGGGGUCUGCAACUCGACCCCGUGAAGUUGGAUUCGCUAGUAAUCGCAUAUCAGCAAUGAUGCGGUGAAUACGUUCCCGGGCCUUGUACACACCGCCCGUCAAGCCAUGGAAGCUGGAAGUGCCUGAAGUGCGUAACCGUAAGGAGCGU
rnacentral:rRNA from 1 species